GACGAACGCUGGCGGCGUGCUUAACACAUGCAAGUCGAACGGAAAGGCCCUGCUUUUGUGGGGUGCUCGAGUGGCGAACGGGUGAGUAACACGUGAGUAACCUGCCCUUGACUUUGGGAUAACUUCAGGAAACUGGGGCUAAUACCGGAUAGGAGCUCCUGCUGCAUGGAGGGGGUUGGAAAGUUUCGGCGGUUGGGGCUGGACUCGCGGCUUAUCAGCUUGCUGGUGGGGUAGUGGCUUACCAAGGCUUUGACGGGUAGCCGGCCUGAGAGGGUGACCGGGCACAAGGGGACUGAGAUACGGACCAGACGCCUACGGGAGGCAGAAGGGGGGAAUAUUGCACAAUGGGCGGGAGCCUGAUGCAGCGACGCCGCGUGCGGGAUGACGGCCUUCGGGUUGUAAACCGCUUUCGCCUGUGACGAAGCGUGAGUGACGGUAAUGGGUAAAGAAGCACCGGCUAACUACGUG
rnacentral:rRNA from 1 species